rnacentral:rRNA from 1 species
GAUGAACGCUGGCGGCGUGCCUAAUACAUGCAAGUCGAACGAGGUGCUUUUGUAGCAAUACGAGAGUAUCCUAGUGGCGAACGGGUGAGUAACGCGUUGGUGACCUACCCCAAAGUGUGGAAUAACAGUCCGAAAGGAUUGCUAAUACCGCAUGUGGUUAUCGGGUGUAGAAACUGAUAACUAAAGGAGCAAUUCGCUUUGGGAGGGACCUGCGUCCCAUCAGCUAGUUGGUGAGGUAAUGGCUCACCAAGGCUACGACGGGUAGGGGACCUGAGAGGGUGACCCCCCACAAUGGAACUGAAACACGGUCCAUACACCUACGGGUGGCAGCAGUAGGGAAUAUUGCACAAUGGGCGAAAGCCUGAUGCAGCAACGCCGCGUGCACGAUGAAGGCCUUCGGGUCGUAAAGUGCUUUUCUGGGAGAUGAGAAAGGACAGUAUCCCAGGAAUAAGUCUCGGCUAACUACGUG